UGAGGCCCUGCAAGGACCAACCUCAGCCUUCCCUACUCCAUUCCCCAAGGCUCUGCCAUGCUGACUGAACGCCUCCUCGAAUGUUCUUCUCAUCACGUCUGGCAAAUGAAGAGGCUCAGUUCCGUGGGUCCCCCUGGAAGGGCGUCUCUUGGGGGUUGGAGGUAGGGUGGCCAGAUAAAACCCAGCAUGCGCACGCCCAGGUGGAGGGGAGCAGGCCACUUUCCAAAUACAACUCAACCCCCUGUGCCUCCGUCACGGUCCCCAGGGAGCAGAACCUUCAUGAGUGAUCCAGAAGGAAGGGUACGCCACAGGGUGGGACCUCCUGCAGGGUGCGCGGUGGUGGGGCUAUCUGUGCAGGUUGUCUCCUCGGCUUCUAUGUCUAUGUGUCACCCCCCCAACCUCGAUGCCACAGUGACCUGCAGGAGGACUCAGAAGCUGGAGGAGACCUGAGGGGAGCUGCAGGGUCUGCCAGUCCGAGCUCUGCGCCCCUCGCCCACGAGAUGAACAGCAGGUCAGCAACAACCUGAGUGGGCCGCCUCUCUGCUUGGCGCCCUGCACAGACCUUCAGGGCGUAAAACGAUGGUGGCUCCUUCACUUGUGCCUUUGAAAUCCUGAGCAAAAUGGCGCACGUGGCCAGUGUCAACCCAGAACCAUGCAGGAAAGGAAUUCUAGGACAUGCAGCUCCAGCUUAGCCAGGUUGACACAGUUCAAGGCCCUGCAGCUGGUGAAAACCAUGAUUACAAGGAACGGUC
rnacentral:lncRNA from 1 species